UGCCAGCAGCCGCGGUAAUACGAAGGGACCUAGCGUAGUUCGGAAUUACUGGGCUUAAAGAGUCCGCAGGCUGUUUGUUAAGUCAGGGGUGAAAUCCUACCGCUCAACGGUAGAACUGCCUUUGAUACUGGCAAACUUGAGUUAUUGUGAAGUAGUUAGAAUGUGUAGUGUAGCGGUGAAAUGCAUAGAUAUUACACAGAAUACCAAUUGCGAAGGCAGAUUACUAACAAUUAACUGACGCUGAGGGACGAAAGCGUGGGUAGCGAACGGGAUUAGAUA
rnacentral:rRNA from 1 species